rnacentral:rRNA from 1 species
AAUGAACGCUGGCGGCAUGCUUUACACAUGCAAGUCGAACGGCAGCGCGGGCUUCGGCCUGGCGGCGAGUGGCGAACGGGUGAGUAAUAUAUCGGAACGUACCCAAGAGUGGGGGAUAACGUAGCGAAAGUUACGCUAAUACCGCAUACGAUCUAAGGAUGAAAGCAGGGGACCGCAAGGCCUUGUGCUCCUGGAGCGGCCGAUAUCUGAUUAGCUAGUUGGUGAGGUAAAGGCUCACCAAGGCAACGAUCAGUAGCUGGUCUGAGAGGACGACCAGCCACACUGGAACUGAGACACGGUCCAGACUCCUACGGGAGGCAGCAGUGGGGAAUUUUGGACAAUGGGGGCAACCCUGAUCCAGCAAUGCCGCGUGAGUGAAGAAGGCCUUCGGGUUGUAAAGCUCUUUUGUCAAGGAAGAAAAGGCUGUGGCUAAUAUCCACAGCUGCUGACGGUACCUGAAGGAUAAGCACCGGCUAACUACGUGCCAGCCGCCGCAGUAAAAC